CCCCCUCUCCAUCUCCUUCAGUAGCCAGUUGCCCAGUUCUUCUCUCCUCUGCCUAUAUCUUCUUCUAGCUUCUUGCUUCCACUAUGUCCAUCCAUGGGGUAGUAGCUUCACCGAUCUUUUGCUGCUGGGUUUGUUUGGACUGCAAGUCCAGGUUGAAGUUAGGUUAAGGGGGUUGUUGUCUGGUUCAAGGUCUCCACAUACAUCAUAUACAUGGAGAGCAUGGUAUGGAUUGUACGUUUUGGAGAUCUCGGACCAGGCUUCAAUCCCUUUAACCAGCAUCUGCGCAAUUCGUACGCCUCAUGCAUAUGAUAGUUCCAGCGGCAGUGGCUUGCUUCUUAUGUCAGCAUAUGUGUGGACUGGCUCGACACUCAUGUAUGACAAAGGAAUGGGGAAUGGCUGGCCAGGCUCAUUACUUGGCUCACGUGGCUGCUGUGAGAGAGAUGACAUGCACAGUACUGCUCCUCUUGUUGCAUCUGAGCGGCGUGCGAUCGAUCGAUCCCAUUCGCUGCCUGUUCUCUCUGGGAGUUUUGUAAUUCCACCCGUCUGCAAAUCGCAGGACUACAUAGUUGUACACAUGCUGGUGACCUUGUGCAUUAACUUUCGUAUGCAGGUUGAAGCGCUUCUCGUGACAGUUACUGGAUUGGUCACCGAAUUGUUUUUACCAUUAUAUUAUACUCCUACAGCUUAUAAUUCUGAAACAUACAAUUAUGCAAAUAUUAUAUAAAAUCAAACUAAUGGUACAGCCGAUAAUGCAGUUUGUAGCUAGACCGGAAUAAUUUGACCUAAUUAUAUUUCCAUUUCCACAUUAGUGUAACUAGCUCAACAUAUAUACCCUCGGUAUAUGCAUGGAGUGAUUUGAAUUGUUCUAUAAUUUUUACUAGCAUAUAUAAAUUGUUUUGUUUACAUUGCGUACCGUAAAUAUUACUUAGAGUAGAGUGGGACUAUUUUUACAAUAGCACCUUUGCAACGGCUUGCUUCCACUUGCAGAGCUAGCGUCCAAUGUUCAUGUCACUGAUCAAAUUAAUUGAUAUACAUGUGAUGCAUACAGUA